UUCAAAUCUGAAAUCCAGCGACUGGAGCAGUGCCAGAACGAUUGAAGAUUAGAGGCUUUAUUCAUAAUUCCUGGUGCAAAGAAUAGCAGCUGAUGUGGAGAAAUGUUUGAUGCUUCAAGACUCUCUGAAGCUGAUUAUAUUAGGUGCACCCAGUGGCUUUUGACUAGGCCUAUUCGAGGGUCACAUGGUUGUGAAUUCAUACCUCAACUUUGCGGCUGGAUUUUCAGUCUUAUUACAACUUCAGCCUGGCAUCCCGGGAGCAGGCGUCUUUUGCACACUUUAAUUAAUUUCAAAGAUGUUUUGUUGGAAACACAACACUUACUGGAUACAAGACGGAUACAUAGAGGCAAAACAAGUGGAAAGGUCUCAGAGAAGAGGGACAACCCUCAUGUGUGUGCUCAUCUCAGAAAGUUGAUGGACUUUCAGUAUGUAUUUAUUAAAUUGUCUUUUGCAGGAAUAUUCUAAAUUUAAUAUAACAUAAGCUCAAACAACAGAAUUUGUGGUAUAAUGUUGAUUCCAGCAUUUUAUUUUAAUCCUUUAACCAAAAUUAUACAAAUUCUGUUGAUUGACCUUAAUUUUUUUAUAGAAAGUAAAUGUUCUACUCAGAAUAUGGCAUAUUUUUUUUUUAUAUAACAGUUAGUUGUAGUUAUUUUGUGAUGCUAUGUUAUUUUUAUGAUAAGAUUUUAACUGUUGAAAGACUGACAUUUUUAUUUUUACCAGUAAAAGCCUUGCAAUGUCUUUCUGCCAGUUUUAAUAAAUAUUUAUUUGCAACAUCUUUGACUUGGUUUUUAUUCAUUUGUAAAUGUAUUAAGAUAGUUCUCAUGAUAAUUCAUUUAAAUCAGUAUUUUACAGUUUACUGUUAAAAUUAUUCUUUGCAGCAUUUUCAUUGUUAAAUUAUUACAACAUCAUCUUGGAUUUAGGGGUAUUUACAGGAUUUUAUUGGCAACUUUUGUUGCCAGGUAAAUACUGUACUUUCGUGAGAUUACAAAAUAUUGCUGUAAUAUAAACUACAAGUUUAAUUCAAUGUUACUGUAAAAAAUACUACAAAUUACU